rnacentral:tRNA from 1 species
GCCGGCGUAGCUCAGUUGGCUAGAGCAUUCGGUUCAUACCCGGAGUGUCAUUGGUUCGAAUCCGAUCGCCGGUACCA